AUAAUUUUUUUCUGUUAUAGACAACCCUGCCGGAUUUAUUAUCUUAUUUUCCAGCCGGUAGUUCUGUACAAACAUUAGAGCAUUUUUACCAAAAUAUACGUAUAAAGGACUUUCGAAACUAUGAUUAUGGAAUAGCUGAAAACUAUAAGCGAUACAAACAGAAAAUACCCCCAAGUUAUGAUUUCAAAAAGAUUACUGCUCCAAUAAUUUUAUUUUACUCAGCAAAUGAUAUGGUUGUGACAAAAGAGAAUGUGUUGGAACUUGGCAAACGCUUACCAAAUGUUCUUUUAACGGAGGAAGUUCCAUUUAAGCAUUUCAGUCACGUAGAUUUCCUGUGGGCAAUCAACGCGAAAACUCUUUUAUACGAUCGUUUGUUAGAACUAUUACAAAAGUUUGAUGCUGACCAAAAUAAGUCUAUGAAAUAAAUCUAAUCGAUGAAUGUAAAUUAAAAGCAGGAGAGAAACCUUAAUCUCUCUAUAUAAUAUGAAAUGUAAACGUAGAAUUGCUAAAAUAUUAGAAAAGUAUAUAUGAGGUGUGAUCAAAAG